AUUCCAGGUUCAGGCAGUCACACCCAGCCUUUUUGUUGUAGUAAUCGUUGUCGUUUUUGUUUGUUUUUUGAAACAGGGUUUCUCUGUGUAGCCCUAGCUGUACUGGAAUAGCUUUGUAGACCAGGUUGGCCUUGAACUCAAGGUGUACAGCCAGCUUUUUUUCUGGGUGCUGGCGUGAGCAAGUCAGGUCCUUAUGUUUGAGUGGGAUGAGCCAUUUACUUACUGGCUUUACAUUUGCAGUUUAAACCAGACUUUUGUUCACAAGGGAAGAAAAUAUGGAGAACGCCAUGAUCAGAAAAAGUCCAAGAGAGGUUGAAUUUUCACUAGUUUUUAAGGUUGUGGAAAGUUUUAGCUUGGAUUCCAGGUUCCAUAGUCUUCUUCGAGUUAACUGCUGUGUGCCGUGGGCAUCUGGGGGACUCAUAAGAAAUGAGACCAAGAAAGGGAACAAAUAAUGUUGAGUUGCUACUCAAUAAUAUUGCUAGCUGGUGAGUAUAUUAUAUAGUCUCAAUAAGUCUGUGAAGUGCUAGUUGAGCAAAUUAAAGGUCAGAAUGUAUAAGUGACUAUUCCAAGCUCAUGCCUAUAACCAGUAAAAAGUGGCUCUGGAAUUUGAUACCAGGUCUGUUUGCUCCAUAUUAACUUCCAAUUGUAUACUGCCUUGGGAAACAAGAAACUUCAUUUCUAGAUCUUUGAGUCAGCCCAGUGGGUAAUUGUUGGACCACAGAGUGAUGUCAAUAUGCUUUGGAGGUAUGAUAGUGUUUUGGUACAAAGACUGCAUAAAAAUAUGUUCUGUAUACAGUAGGUGCUUAAUAUUUUGCUCAUGUUGGAAACAUUCAUAUUAAAACAGUGGUUGCCUAAGUUGGUCAUACAGUUUCAUCUGUAUAACACAAGUUGGUAGAAAGGUGUAAUGAUCCUGCAGUAGAGGCCACCAUUAAGAUGACAUCAGGAUCUAGAAAAUGAAACAUUUUCAUGGAACAGUUUUAGGGCAGUACCAACUAAGUAAAGCAUGCUACUUGUAGGACUCAGAUAAUCCAGCCUAAAGGAUUUGUUGUAAAUUUUGGUGCACAUAAUAGACACUCAAUAAAUUUAUUUGCUGAAUGAAUGAAUGUGUAUGUUAUUGAUAUAUAAUUUAUAUGUGAUAUAAUUGACCAAUGUUAGGUUAUAGUUUGAGCUUUGACAGAUAUAGUGUAUAGUUAUGAAGUCA
rnacentral:lncRNA from 1 species